UACGUAGGGUGCAAGCGUUAAUCGGAAUUACUGGGCGUAAAGCGUGCGCAGGCGGUUGUGCAAGACAGAUGUGAAAUCCCCGGGCUCAACCUGGGAAUUGCAUUUGUGACUGCACGGCUAGAGUGUGUCAGAGGGGGGUAGAAUUCCACGUGUAGCAGUGAAAUGCGUAGAGAUGUGGGGGAAUGCCGAUGGCGAAGGCAGCCCCCUGGGAUAACACUGACGCUCAUGCACGAAAGCGUGGGGAGCAAACAGG
rnacentral:rRNA from 1 species